rnacentral:rRNA from 1 species
AGAGUUUGAUCCUGGCUCAGGACGAACGCUUGCGGCGUGCCUAAGAAAUGCAAGUCGAGCGGGGUGCAGCAAUGCAUCCAGCGGCGAACGGUCGCGUAACACGUAAGCAACCUGCCCCCAGGACCGGGACAACAUCUCGAAAGGGGUGCUAAUACCGGAUGGUGUUGGAGGGUGGCAUCACCUUUCAACCAAAGCGUGGCAACACGGCCAGGGGAUGGGCUUGCGGCCUAUCAGCUAGUUGGUGGGGUAACGGCCUACCAAGGCGACGACGGGUAGCUGGUCUGAGAGGACGGCCAGCCGGACUGGGACUGAGACACGGCCCAGACUCCUACGGGGGGCAGCAAUUAGGAAUCUUGCGCAAUGGGCGAAAGCCUGACGCAGCGACGCCGCGUGGAGGAGGAAGUCCUUCGGGAUGUAAACUCCUUUUGUCAGGGACGAAGGAUGUGACGGUACCUGACGAAUAAGCCCCGGCUAACUACGUGCCAGCAGCCGCGGUAAUACGUAGGGGGCGAGCGUUGUCCGAAGUUACUGGGCGUAAAGCGCGCGUAGGCGGGCUGGUAAGUGAGAGGUGAAAUGCCGGGGCUCAACCCCGGAGGGUCCUCUCAUACUGCCGGUCUUGAGGGCGGCAGGGAGAAGUGGAAUGGCUGGUGUAGCGGUGAAAUGCGUAGAUAUCAGUCGGAACACCGGUGGCGAAGGCGGCUUCUUGGGCCGUUCCUGACGCUGAGGCGCGAAAGCCAGGGGAGCGAACGGGAUUAGAUACCCCGGUAAUCCUGGCCGUAAACGAUGGAUACUAGGUGUCGGGGGUAUCGACCCCCCCGGUGCCGCAGCUAACGCAUUAAGUAUCCCGCCUGGGGAGUACGGUCGCAAGGUUGAAACUCAAAUGAAUUGACGG